rnacentral:lncRNA from 10 species
GGGUAGCAGGUGUGCCUCCCAACCAACCCUUUAUUGCCUGGGCAUGUGACAGCAUUUUGCGGCACCUCAGUAAUGAGCCAGAGAAGAAGGAAAGGCAGAUGAAUUUGCCAGCAUUAUUGCAGGUAUCUUGAAGGAGAGUUGAGCCCAGCUUUUCAAUUCAUACAGAUCCUUUCUCUGAAGAACCCCUUCCUGAUAUUGUCACUUUAACACAUCUCUGUGGUUUUAUUUUGAAAUUUUUAAAGGUACAGUCAUGUGCCGCAUAAUGACAUUCAGUCAAUGACAGACUGCAUAUAUGAGGUGGUCCUGUAAGGUGAUAAUGGAGCUGAAAAAUUCCUACUACUGAACGACAUCAUAGCCAUUGUAACAUCAUAGCACAACCAAUCACCUUUUCUAUAUUUAGGAUAAGGAGUUCAUAUGCUGGAAUGAUAGUGACACAGGAGUUUAACACUCCUACAGUAUCCAGAGCCUGGAUCCCUGAGUCAUCAGAUGGAGAAGAACUACUCAGGAGAGUCAUCCAACCUUCAUAGACAGUGGCAUGAGUGGGAAUUAAACAUUGAUUAUGUUAAGCCAUUGCAGUUUGGGGUUGUUUGUUACAGAAGUGUUCAUUUUCCCUUAUUGACCCA